rnacentral:rRNA from 1 species
AACGCUAGCUACAGGCUUAACACAUGCAAGUCGCGGGGUAACGAGAGGGAAGCUUGCUUUCCUUGUCGACGACCGGCGCACGGGUGAGUAACGCGUAUCCAACCUGCCCAUUACCACGGGAUACCCCGUCGAAAGGCGGCCUAAUACCGUAUGCAGUCGUCAGAUGACAUCAGAGGACGACGAAAGGAUUGGCGGUAAUGGAUGGGGAUGCGUCUGAUUAGGUAGUUGGAGGGGUAACGGCCCACCAAGGCAACGAUCAGUAGGGGUUCUGAGAGGAAGGUCCCCCACAUUGGAACUGAGACACGGUCCAAACUCCUACGGGAGGCAGCAGUGAGGAAUAUUGGUCAAUGGGCGCGAGCCUGAACCAGCCAAGUAGCGUGAGGGAUGACGGCCCUAUGGGUUGUAAACCUCUUUUAUGCGGGAAUAAAAUGUUUGACGUGUCAUACAUUGUAGGUACCGCAAGAAUAAGGACCGGCUAAUUCCGUGCCAGCAGCCGCGGUAAUACGGAAGGUCCAGGCGUUAUCCGGAUUUAUUGGGUUUAAAGGGAGCGUAGGCCGCAAGUCAAGCGUGUUGUGAAAUGCAGGGGCUCAACCUCUGGAUUGCAGCGCGAACUGGCAUGCUUGAGUACGCACGAGGUAGGCGGAAUUUGUGGUGUAGCGGUGAAAUGCUUAGAUAUCACGAAGAACUCCGAUUG